rnacentral:rRNA from 1 species
GUGCCAGCAGCCGCGGUAAUACAGAGAUGGCAAGCGUUGUUCGGAAUCACUGGGCUUAAAGCGCGUGUAGGCGGUGCGGAAGGCGCCUUGUGAAAGCCCUCGGCUCAACCGGGGAACUGCUUGGCGAACCAUCGCACUUGAGGCAGGUAGAGGUCACUGGAACCAUAGGUGGAGCGGUGAAAUGCGUAGAGAUCUAUGGGAACGCCGGUGGCGAAAGCGAGUGACUGGGCCUGAUCUGACGCUGAGACGCGAAAGCGUGGGUAGCAAACAGGAUUAGAUACCCGGGUAGUCC